rnacentral:misc_RNA from 1 species
GAUGAAGAACGUAGCGAAAUGCGAUAAGUAGUGUGAAUUGCAGAAUUCAGUGAAUCAUCGAAUCUUUGAACGCACAUUGCGCCCUUUGGUAUUCCUUAGGGCAUGCCUGUUCGAGCGUCAUUUGAACCCUCAAGCUCAGCUUGGUGUUGGGUGUCUGUCCCCGCCUCCGCGGGGACUCGCCUCAAAAUCAUUGGCGGCCGGUACGUUGGCUUCGAGCGCAGCAGAAACGCGAACUCGAGGCCCGGCGGAUCGGCGACCAGAAGUCUCUUCUUCACAGUUUGACCUCGGAUCAGGUAGGGAUACCCGCUGAACUUAAGCAUAUCAAAAGCGGAGGA